rnacentral:lncRNA from 1 species
AGAGAUGCAGGCCGAUAGCAGGGCACGCCGGCCUGGAAGGUCACAGUCAGGAGACGCCGGGUCCUUCUGAGAACAACACAGAGCCCCCCGGGAGCUCCACUUUUUGCUGUAUCACUAUCAGCCAUAAAAAGCAAGGAAGUUCUGGUACAUGCUACAAACAACAUGGAUGAACCUGAAAACCUCAUGCUAAGUGAAAGGAGCUGACACAAGGGGACAUGUACUAUAUAACUGCACGGACACCAGAUGUCUAAAAUAGGCCAAUCCAUAGAGACCUAAAGACACAUUCACCCUGUCAGCGCGUGCAGAGCAGCUGUGAUGGCUGCAUCGUGUUGCUGGAAGCAGGCCAGUGUUACCAUGUUCCUGGGCGUGCAGCUGCUGAGCAGGCAGCAUGGAGGCCGCCCUGGCUGCAGGGGACCCUUAGCCUGAGGAUCCUGCCCCAAGUUGCUGAUGCCAACAGCCAGCCCUUGCCAGAUGUCUUAUGUCUGACUCUUGGGUGUUUAGGCAGCAUAACAGUGAAAUUGAUAAUAACUAUGGAUAUCAAUUUUGAGUGUGUAAUUUUAACCAGAGCAAACCUUUAUUGAUCUCUUACUCUGUUCUCAGGCCUUCUCAUGCAUCUUACUUAAUUCUCUCAGUUCCCCAGGAGGCAGGGACUAACAUUAUCUUCUGUGUAGACCAGUGGGGAGCAACUCUGUGUGUGUGAGUGUAUGUGUGUGUGUGUGUGUGUGUGUGUGUGUAGGUCAUUCAGGACAAGUUAAAACACUUAUGGGUGUGUGUGUAGGCCAUUCAGGACAAGUUAA